UUCUUUUUCUUUUUAUCGAAAGUAGGGCCUGCCCACUGAAACAUUUUAAAGGGCCGCAGUAUACUGACUGUGCUAAGGUAGCGUAAUCAUUAGCCUCUUAAUUAGGGGAUUGUAUGAAUGGCCAAACCUAAUGGAAUUUUAUUGGACUAAAAUAUUAAAAUUUAAUUUUAAGUGAAAAUGCUUAAGUGGGCUUAAAAGACGAUAAGACCCUUUAGAGUUUUAUGCAUUUUUUUGCUGACAAAUUUGGGGGAAUUUGUUGGCUAAAAGGUGUGUUUUAUUGGGGCAAUAGCAGAAUAAGGUUAACUUCUGUUCUAGGUUGGAUACAAUUAAAAAUCUUUUUUAAAAAAAUAAAAAAGUUACCUAAGGGUUAACAGCGUAAUAUUUUUUGAAAGUUCUUAUUAAUAAAUUUGUUUGCGACCUCGAUGUUGAAUUAAAAAUUUUAUUUGAAGCAGGAUUUAAAUUAAAUGGUCUGUUCGACUAUUAAUUUUUU
rnacentral:rRNA from 1 species